rnacentral:tRNA from 1 species
AUUCAAAUAGCUUAUAUAGAGUAUGACAUUGAAGCUGUUAAGGAGAAUUAAUAUUCUUUGAAUA